AGUCUGAGUUAAGGUCUUAUCCUUUUGGACAAAAGCAUCAUGGGAACGAAAUAGAACGUGUACUCAGGUUCCCUUCCUGAGGUCAUCUGUCUGCUGUGGGUAAGUCCCCGUCACUUCUAAAUAGUGUCUACUACUGGGGUCAGAGGCCAUGGUAGACUGAACAUCUACUCUGCAAAGAGCAUCUGCUCUCUCUGUACAGUGGGCAAUAGUAGGGAUAAAGGAAAAGAUGCUAACAUCCAGUUAACUACAGUGUCUGGCAGCCUUAUUCCUUCAUAUGACUCUUUUCAAAGAUAAUAUGAUGGGCUUCAGGAUGAUAACAGCAGCUACACAGGCUUCUCUCUGUGUGUAUUUGUUUUGUCUUGUUUUCAGCACUUUACUGUGUUUUGGUAGUGUUGGUAGCUUUGUUUGUUUGUUUGUUUGUUUAUUUAUUUAUUUAUUUAUUAGCAAUGUUCUUCUAUACUCUAUGAAUUUGAAGGCAGUCUGAUUUACAUAUUGAGUUCCAGGCCAGCCAGGGAUACAUAAAAAAAAAAAAAA
rnacentral:lncRNA from 1 species